ACAAAAGUUCUGAGUCAUCGCAAUUUCUCCGUAUAUUCUUAUAUAACAGCUAAAGACGAUAGAAAAAUUAUAUUACAACUUUUGCUUUUGAGGAAAACAUUCUGAAAUAUUCUACAUUAAAGGACACAUGCAAGAUAGAAGACAACACUGCUCCUCUGAUACAUGGCGAUCAUAUUUGCAUCACACAAGAGGAAGAGUUUGCCACAGUGUGUACAAACGAAGCUGUCAUAAAAACAUCUAUGGUCGUGUACACACAUGACAUUGGACCUAUACCUGAGAGUGAAGAAAACGAAAACGUAACGCUAAACGGCGUACCGACAGUGGACGGCUUGGGUGCAUGGCAAGUUGGGAAAAAAGUACAGACUACCCAUACCUUCUUGUGCUGGAGACAAAAUCCGGAAAGCAUUUCCUUCGCCUUCUGGAGAAUACAAAGGAUUUGAAUAUGCUCAACACAACUGAAUGAAGCGACAUUUAUGUUGCUUAAUGGCUUCAGCUUUGCUGAUUUUUGAUUUGUGGCAAGUCAAUGGGACAGGUAUUUCUUUCACUCCAGACAUGAAGAGCUUCGGACAGUGUUGGAUUAAUGCGUCUGCAGUACAAAACUUCUUUCAUCAAGUCCUUAACAUAUCCUGACAAGCAAAUCAUUAUUUAUGUUGGCUUUGCAUUGCACUUUGAGAAAAAGCUCUAACAUAUCAUAUUCACAUUUUGGGAAUACAUCACUAUGUCCCUCAUGGAUGUCACAUAUAUGGUUGAGAACUGACAACCACUUUGCCUUGACAAGUUCUUCAUCACCAUUGCUGGAAGCAGCACACCAGUAUACAUGGUUGGAAAUUGAUUGGGCCCAAUCUGACAAUAAUUUGCAACCACUUUUUUUUGAUGCUGCCCAAAUGUUCUUUUUAAUUCCUGUUGGAUUUUGAUUAUUGAUGAAAUGUGUAAAAGAUAUCUUUUUAAUUCCUCAAGUUCCAUUGCUCCAGAGUUCGUCACUUCAUUGGACUGUUUAACAUAAUUAUAUUCCAAAUGCAUGCAGCUAUAUGACCCAUACUCGGCACAAUAUCCAGGCAAAUCACAUCUUCCAUCUCUUUCAAGAAGAUGCUUUUGGUGCAUAUGCCAAACAUUUGAAACACUGGGUAUCAAAUACGCUGUUUGAAUAUAGCUAUAUGUGCGCUCUGACAGAAAUUGUAUGCUUGAGUGACAAAGGAAUUGAAGAACUUUGCUGGGGCUACUACCACUAAAAAAGAUGCUGGCAGCAAAGACCAAGUUACCCAAAGGCAUUCGCCCAUGCAGAGGUUGGCUAUUCCAGUCUCGAACAUAACCACAAUGACAUUUUGCUAGUACGUUAACCAUACUACCAGUCGUUUUGGUCACAAUGGAACAACUUUCACCACAACAUGGGCAUUGACUCACUGUCUCAGGCAUCUAUCAAACACUAUGUAUUUUCUCUCAUUUUGAGCAUCUUUCCUAUAACAUAAAAAUUACCAUCAGAAGCAGAGAGAGAUAAACGUAACGUUCUGAGAAACAUAUAACAGAGAAAAGCAAUGUAAAGAAUAGUCAGGUGACUGGAUAGUUGGUACUAACGUCACAUUGUCAUUGUCAGAUUCUUCAUUUCCGCUUAACUCGUUUGAACAUUGAGAGUCUGAUCCAUUGUAGCUAUUGCUCAUCGUCGACGUGCUUUCUGUAUCAGACCAUACAGCGCUAUCCUCAAAAUGUUCAAUUUCACAUGAAGUCGUCUGUGUGCUGUGAUUUUUUGUUGAAAUGAACUCAACCUCCGUACCUUAGCAUAAAAUUAUCGUAUUGCUGGAUUUUUCACAAAAAUCAAAACGGCCGAAAUGGAAAGUCUAUACCUCUACUUAUCAUAUUUGGCACUUUUAUGUAUAUCCAGUGGAUGACUGUUGGUGCUCGUAUUGACGGACGUUUCGACAUUCUUUGCGGUAGUCACUUUCAGAAAACUUGUCAAUUUUCAUAAGUGAUAUAUUUAUUUCAUAGUUGCUAUAGUCUUUGUGUCUCAUUUUUGUUUCACUUUCAUUGUCGAUAAUCAUUGUCGUUUGAUGCAAAAUUGCUGUCUUCUCUUACAUUGCAUGCGAUUUCUGUAAAUGGGACUAAGAUUUCGGACAAUUUUUUACAAAAAACAAUGACUUUACAAAUAGCUUCCUGUACUAUUACUUCCUGCUAUAACAGAAAACGCACAGGAACAUGAAAUUAAUUUGUUCUACACAUAUUUAUGAUACAACAGACAACACGCUAGCUCUUGUAAUGAGUGAAUGUCGAUGGACGUUCUUCAUUGGAUGGAAAGCUGAAAAAACAGACAAUGACAAAGUCGAAGUUAAGCCAAUUGAAAAUUUCGAAAGUUGGAAUGAAGUGUUGAAACGGUCCUGGGAGACAUAUUGUCUUUACACUUUUUCUCUCCCAAGCAACCACUACUCAAUUCAGUUUGACGAAAGAUUGUUUCCGAGCACUCACAUUUAUACCAACUUGGGGCAAGGACGUCUUUCUUACUUGAGCUACAUACUAAAUGAGCAAAAAUUAUACCGACAUAACCAACAAAAUAAAGUAAUCUUGUUAUUUGCUAUACCAA